rnacentral:rRNA from 1 species
GAUGAACGCUGGCGGCGUGCCUAAUACAUGCAAGUCGAGCGAACAGACGAGGAGCUUGCUCCUCUGACGUUAGCGGCGGACGGGUGAGUAACACGUGGAUAACCUACCUAUAAGACUGGGAUAACUUCGGGAAACCGGAGCUAAUACCGGAUAAUAUAUUGAACCGCAUGGUUCAAUAGUGAAAGACGGUUUUGCUGUCACUUAUAGAUGGAUCCGCGCCGCAUUAGCUAGUUGGUAAGGUAACGGCUUACCAAGGCAACGAUGCGUAGCCGACCUGAGAGGGUGAUCGGCCACACUGGAACUGAGACACGGUCCAGACUCCUACGGGAGGCAGCAGUAGGGAAUCUUCCGCAAUGGGCGAAAGCCUGACGGAGCAACGCCGCGUGAGUGAUGAAGGUCUUCGGAUCGUAAAACUCUGUUAUUAGGGAAGAGCAAAUGUGUAAGUAACGAUGCACGUCUUGACGGUACCUAAUCAGAAAGCCACGGCUAACUACGU